UACCUGACGGGAGGUUAUGACGCGCGUGUCCACGCACCGGUCACCUGGACCGCGUCGAGCCACUGGUGAGACCGACCCGCCCACGUA
ncrna:unclassified sequences c-di-GMP-II-GAG riboswitch